GGAAAAAGAAGAAGAAAAUUUUCAUUUUACUUUUCUUCUUCUCUUCCCUCCACCGCCAAGGUUUUCUCCAUCCAUUUCCACCACUUUCUUCACCAUUUCUACACCAAAUUUCAGAGGAAUUUCAAAGGGAAGAAGAUUGAGAAAGGAAGAAGAAGAAUUUCAAGAAGUUUUGUUGAAGAAAGAAAGGGAAUUGCAAGCAAAGCUUCAUCCUUGGCAAAAAUUGAUUCACACAACACACCUCUAAUGUUCAGUUGAUUCUAAGCUACACAAGACGAAUUAAGAGGUGUUGAGCCCGAGGCUAUAUGGUACCGUGUGCACACAAGUUAGAUUCCAUUGUUGACAUUGAGUGUACUCUGUAACAACGAUGUUGUCAUGAGUGCUGGAUGGGACCCACUACGAUGAAGACGAUGAGAGUGUUGGGCGGGCCCCACUACAUCGUAGAGCUUGUAAAUGUUGUUGUACUGGGUGUACCCUACACAACGUAGAUUUGUCAUGUUAGUUAAAAUAUUUUGAUAUACUUGAUAGGCCUUGCUAGAUUUCAAUGAUGUAUAUACUGAGUAUUUAAGGAAGCUAUUCUUACGAUUAUACGUCUAUGUUUACGACUUGUAUAAACAAAUUUAUAAGUGUAGAGAUCGAGUUUCCAGUGCCUGAUAGACUGCCUUAGUCUGCUGAAGUUUCGAUAUCGAUUGCCAGUACGUGGUUAGAGUUGUGCACAGAGUCUGUUGUAUUAUAAUGUAUAUAUCUUUGUAUGAUAUAGAUACUCCAUAGUUUGUGUAAACUUUAGGAGCUGUGGUUGUAUAAACCUUUGUUGGUUAUAUUUUA